rnacentral:rRNA from 1 species
UUAAGUGACUAAGCGUACAAGGUGGAUGCCUUGGCAAUCAGAGGCGAGGAAGGACGUGCUAAUCUGCGAAAAGCUUGGAUGAGUCGAUAAGAGGCGUUUAAUCCAAGAUGUCCGAAUGGGGAAACCCAGUAGAUGAAGAAUCUACUAUCACUUACUGAAUCCAUAGGUAAGUGAGGCAAACCGGGAGAACUGAAACAUCUAAGUACCCCGAGGAAAAGAAAUCAACCGAGAUUUCGUUAGUAGCGGCGAGCGAACGCGAAGGAGCCUGUUAGUGAUAAUGACAGAGACAGAGGAACAAGCUGGGAAGCUUGGCGAUACAGGGUGAUAGCCCCGUACUCGAAGUCCAGGUCAUGGUACUAAGCUAACGACAAGUAGGGCGGGACACGUGAUAUCCUGUUUGAAGAUGGGGGGACCAUCCUCCAAGGCUAAAUACUCCUGACUGACCGAUAGUGAACCAGUACUGUGAAGGAAAGGCGAAAAGAACCCCGGUGAGGGGAGUGAAAUAGAACCUGAAACCUUGUACGUACAAGCAGUGGGAGCCCUUUAAGGGUGACUGCGUACCUUUUGUAUAAUGGGUCAGCGACUUAUAUUUUGUAGCGAGGUUAACCGAAUAGGGGAGCCGAAGGGAAACCGAGUCUUAACUGGGCGUCUAGUUGCAAGGUAUAGACCCGAAACCCGGUGAUCUAGCCAUGGGCAGGUUGAAGGUUGGGUAACACUAACUGGAGGACCGAACCGACUAAUGUUGAAAAAUUAGCGGAUGACUUGUGGCUGGGGGUGAAAGGCCAAUCAAACCGGGAGAUAGCUGGUUCUCCCCGAAAUCUAUUUAGGUAGAGCCUUGAGCGGACACCUUCGGGGGUAGAGCACUGUUUCGGCUAGGGGUCCAUCCCGGAUUACCAACCCGAUGCAAACUACGAAUACCGAAGAGUGAUACUCAGGAGACACACGGCGGGUGCUAACGUCCGUCGUGGAGAGGGAAACAACCCAGACCGCCAGCUAAGGUCCCAAAGUCUAUAUUAAGUGGGAAACGAAGUGGGAAGGCUUAGACAGCUAGGAUGUUGGCUUAGAAGCAGCCAUCAUUUAAAGAAAGCGUAAUAGCUCACUAGUCGAGUCGGCCUGCGCGGAAGAUGUAACGGGGCUCAAAUAUAGCACCGAAGCUGCGGCAUCAGUAGCAAUACUGUUGGGUAGGGGAGCGUUCUGUAAGCGGAUGAAGGUGGCUCGAGAGGGCUGCUGGACGUAUCAGAAGUGCGAAUGCUGACAUAAGUAACGAUAAAACGGGUGAAAAACCCGUUCGCCGGAAGACCAAGGGUUCCUGUCCAACGUUAAUCGGGGCAGGGUGAGUCGGCCCCUAAGGCGAGGCUGAAAAGCGUAGUCGAUGGGAAACGGGUUAAUAUUCCCGUACUUGGAUAAACUGCGAUGUGGGGACGGAGCAGGUUAGGUUAUCGCACUGUUGGAUAUGUGCGUUUAAGUUAGUAGGUGUGAAGUUUAGGCAAAUCCGGACUUCUAUAACACCGAGAGAUGAUGACGAGGCUCUACGGAGCUGAAGUAACCGAUACCACACUUCCAGGAAAAGCCACUAAGCUUCAGGUUUAUCUAAACCGUACUGAAAACCGACACAGGUGGUCAGGUAGAGAAUACUCAGGCGCUUGAGAGAACUCGGGUGAAGGAACUAGGCAAAAUAGCACCGUAACUUCGGGAGAAGGUGCGCCGGCGUAGAUUGUAGUCCCUAGCGGGCGAAGGUUGAACCGGUCGAAGAUACCAGCUGGCUGCAACUGUUUAUUAAAAACACAGCACUCUGCAAACACGAAAGUGGACGUAUAGGGUGUGAUGCCUGCCCGGUGCUGGAAGGUUAAUUGAUGGUGUAAUCGAAAGAGAAGCUCCUGAUCGAAGCCCCAGUAAACGGCGGCCGUAACUAUAACGGUCCUAAGGUAGCGAAAUUCCUUGUCGGGUAAGUUCCGACCUG